rnacentral:rRNA from 1 species
CAAGUCUGUUUAAACCAAAACAUUUCUUUUUGGUUUUAAAAAAAGUAUUUUCUGCCCUAUGAGUUUAAAAUUAAAUGGCUGCAGUAAUUUGACUGUGCAAAGGUAGCAUAGUAAUUAGUUCUUUAAUUGGGAACUGGAAUGAAUGGAUAUAUGAGAUAUUAAUUUUAUUAAUUUUAAUAUUAAAAAUUCAAAUUUAAGUCAAAAUGCUUAAUAAAUUUCUUGGGACGAUAAGACCCUAUAGAACUUUACAAAUAAAAUAUUAGUAUUGAGUUUUACAUAUUAAAUUUGAUUAAAUAUUUUUUGUUUAGCUGGGGUGGUUAAUAAAUUUUAACUUUAUUAAUUUAUAUCAUUUGUGUAUGUUAUAAUUUUUGAUCUUUAAGAAGGUUUAAUAGAUUAAGUUACCUUAGGGAUAACAGCGUAAUUUUUAUGGGGAGUUCAAAUCUAUAUUAAAUUUUGCGACCUCGAUGUUGAAUUAAGGAAAGCUUUAGAGGCAGCACUCUAAAUCCUAAGUCUGUUCGACUAUUAAAUUCUUACAUGAU